rnacentral:rRNA from 1 species
AUGGCACCUAAUAGAGCACCUGGCCCUGAUAACAUUCCUGAUGAAUUUUAUCAGAUUUGCUGGGAGAUUGUUAAACAUGACAUUAUGUCUCUGUUUGAACACUUCCAUAAAGAAACACUAGAUGUGCAACGCCUUAACUAUGGUGUGAUCACACUCCUCCCCAAGAGUGCUGGGGCAACAAGAUACAACAGUUUAGGCCUAUUUGUCUACUAA